UACAGAGGUCCCAAGCGUUGUUCGGAUUCACUGGGCGUAAAGGGUGCGUAGGCGGUCGGGUAAGUCUGACGUGAAAUCUCCAAGCCUAACUUGGAAACUGCGUUGGAUACUAUCCGGCUUGAGGAAUGGAGGGGAGACUGGAAUACUUGGUGUAGCAGUGAAAUGCGUAGAUAUCAAGUGGAACACCAGUGGCGAAGGCGAGGCUCUGGACAUUUCCUGACGCUGAGGCACGAAAGCCAGGGGAGCAAACGGG
rnacentral:rRNA from 1 species